rnacentral:lncRNA from 1 species
CGACAUGUUGCUCAAGUGGAACCCAUGUAACAGAACUUAUUCAUUACUUGUCUCUGUUCUCAAAUAUUUACACCUUUUGCUGCUGUGAAAAAAAUCUUUAAGUCUUAGUUAUCAAUUUUUCCCUAUUGCAGCCGAAAGAGGAGAGUUUCGAAAAGCAGUAGAACCCUAUAGGGUCACAUUCUGCAGAAAGGCACAGGAGAAAACAAAAUGCGCUGCAAUCUUGGAUUUUGUAGAAAUUCAAGCGGGAAGAGGCCUCCGUGUGCUUGACAGCGCCAGGGGUGUCCAGCAGGCUAGGGGCUUUGCCUUAAGGGGCGGCAUUAGUUGCCCACUGUUCAAGGGUUAACCCUUAGCCUUGCUGCCGCAGAAACCUAGUUUUCUAUGGCGACAGUGCUUUGCAACCCAGCUGUACCUUAGGAUCGCCUGGAUAACUUACAGAAUGUAGAUGCCCACUACCCCUAGGGAUUAUUUCACAUGUCUGGGCUGGGGUCCCACCAUCAUGGUAAUUUUAAAAGCUCCCAGGUUAUUGUCGUGUGCAGCCAGGAGAACUGACAUACACUUACAAUAGGGACAUUUAUGAGCAGCUCUGGGAUAUUCAGAUGGACAAACCUGAUUUUAGGCCAGAAUGCCUUUUUAUGGAUUUAAAAUGAGAUAUGUAAUUGAAUGAGUGACUGGAUGUACUUGUGGAUGCGAACCCAGCAUUUACCUCCGGCGAGUAAGAGAGUUGGUUUUGGAGCAGCGUAGAUCUGCACCCGAAGGUUGGCUGGGUGUGUUGAAUGGCAGCAGGCCAAGAGGGUUUGAGGUGUUUACCCACAUGAUGGUGAUGGUUUCCCCAGUGAGGCCAGAAUGUUGAAAGUCUGCAGGUCAGACUGUCCCCCGCCUACAAAAUAUCUGGCUGGACACAGCCAGCGCUUGCCUUUCUAUGUCAUGCGUGACCGUGUCCAGGGCUGAACAAUGUCUCCUUCCCCUUCCUGUGGUUCCUUCUUUCUGUGCCUUUAUGCGUGCACACAUUCUGGUACCUGGAGUGUUUUUGGGCCUGGGAGAUUUUCUCUCUUCCUCCUCUUCUUGCCUGCUCUCUCUCUUGCUGCUCUCUCUUGCCCUUCUCCUCUCUCCUACUCCUCAGAUAUUUUCCGCCUCAGACCUGAAUCAGCCAUUUCUCCAGAAAGACAUGGUAUCUUUUAAUGCAAAAUGGUGUUUCUAGACCACCAUCUGGGCACUUGGGAUGCUAGCUUUAUUGGGUUGACCGUUGUUUCUAGACCUUUUUCAGUAGACAGAGCUGAGAAAACUACAUUAAAGAGGGACUGUGAGAAUGAAUGUGGUAGAUUUAAAUGUACUGGUGAAUCCAUACUGAUAUUUCCAACCAGAAUUCACGACUACAAGGGUUUUACUUAACCUCUUCUAUCAUCUGUUCUUUCUUUCACACCAAGACUUCUGGUUUUCAAGUACAUAGGGAAUGACAGAAUUGAAUAUCCCUAAUUACUCAUUUACUUUAUCUCACACUACACAACUGGCAGUCUCAGAAUAACAACACUAAUACCAGCAUCAAGUAUGAUACUGAAAACAGUCCCAAAACUUUCUUUGCAUAUGCUGUCCCUAUCCUCCACCGUUUAAAAAAAAAAAAAAGGUUGUUGUACUAGAUGAUUGUGGUAGGCUGAAUAAUGGCCCCUCAAAAGGUAUCGGGUCCUAACCUCUGGAACCUGUGAAUGUUACUUUAAAAGGUGAAGACUUUGUAUACGUGAUUAAGUUAAGGAUCUUGAGAUGGGAAGAUUACCCGGGAUUAUCUGAGUGGGCCCUAAAUGCCAUGACAAGUGUCCUUAUAAAAGGGAGGUUACACGCAGAAGAGGAAAAGACAGCGUGAUGGAGGUGGAGAUUGGAAUGAUGCAGCCACAAGCCAAGGAAUGCUGGCAGCCACCAGAAGCUGGAAGAGGCAAGGGAUAGAUUCUCUCCUAGAGCUUUCCAAGGGAGGGCAGCCUGCUCGCACUUUGAUUUCUGUCUACUGAAACUCAUUUUGCACUUCUGGCUUCCAGAACUGUGAGAGAAUAAAUUCCUGUUAUUUUAAGCCACCAACUUUGUGGUAAUUUGUUAUCACAGCCUUGGGAAACUAAUAUAGUCAUGUGGCCAUUACGUAUAAUAAUCUCCGUUAGUUCCUCAAUAACUACAUAUUUAAUACUGACUAAUACUUAUAUGCAUGUCUCGAGUCAUUUUGGUCAUCUCACGUUCAUUGUCUGGUAUCUUUAGGAAGGGCUCAUGGGAACAUUAUUCCCUGAUUUUUUUUUUCGCAUGUUGGCAACCUUUUGUCAAAACCACUGGAUACAGAAUCCUUCACAUUUUCUUUAUCUUAAAUGUUAUUACUCCAUCUCUUUGUGGCAUGAAGCUUGUUGUAAGUCUGAUGAUAAUCUAAUUUUUUCCCUUAUAAUUUGUGUAUUGUUUUUCUUAGAUGCCCAAAUGAUCUUUUUCUUUCAAGUCCAGUAAUUUUCCUAGAGUAUAUCUUGAUAUCCAUCUGACUCAGUAUUCUCAGGUACACAAUAUGCUCUUUCAACAUGAGGUUUCAGAUAUUUUCUUCUUUGGGAAAGUUUCCAUGAAUUGUUUUCUCUGUCUCCCAACUUUAUCUUCUAAUGCCAUGUAGUACCCACAGGCCCCAUCUCUAAGUCACUAUCAGUCUGCCACUAAGAACUCGAAUAAGUCUUGAUGCCACAGCUCCUAGAAUUUUUACCGAAGCCUGCAGUGAGCUAUGAAAAAAGAAAGUUAGGUCAGACUCACGUUCACGACAUAAAACCCCUGCAGAAUCCCAUGGUGGAGCCUCAACUGGACUUAAGGAAAGCUGCUUCACACCCCUUCCUUAGGUCCCCCUUACAGCAAACAGCCCAUGUUCCCAGAAGCACUGAGAGCAGCAGCAGAUGACCUGUAGCUGCCUCCCUAAUGCAGGAUUUAGAGCUGGAAUGGACAGCGACACCUGGCUCAUCCCCACCCACACCUGGACAGCUGGAGCAGUUUGGAAGGGACCAUAACAAGACAGAAGUCAAGGCUCAAUCCUAAACCAGCUGUGUGAUCUUGAAUAAAUCACCAAACUCAUUCAAGCGUGGGUGUCAACUAAAUCCAAAAAAAGGAAGAGACGGCCUCGAAAUGUCCAAGAAUCUGCCACGCGUCCACAUCCACCUCCCGGCCAGGUUCAGGACAAGCCCAGGACACACCUACAGACUCAGCUCAGAUGCUCAGCGGAUGUUUAUUAAACCAUCCAUCCAUCAACAAGACUGUGUUGAUGGUUAGCCCUAACAAGCAUGAUUAGGGUCUGGUUCUCUAAUUCUGUUUGACGGGUUUUGUGGGCUCCAGGGGAAGAAUGAAGCACGCAAAAGUUUACCAAGGCUGACUCAACACACUCCACCAAAACCUAAAUGAGACCAGAGUCUGCAAAACAAGCAAAUAUCACCCUGCCGGCCAACCCAUCUGCUGUCCCAGUGGAAGAUUAGAGUCAGCGGAACUACGAGGACGGGGAAGAAGGAGCAGAACCAAUCCAUGUUUAUGAUGCCAUCAGGGCCACCCCAUCAGACAGCCAAGUCUGCCUUCAGGGUGAGGCAAGAGUAGGCCAAGGCCUUCCUCCCCUCCUGCGGGGUAACAACUCAGUCCCACCCAUCAGCUGAGAGCCAAGCUACGUACUCUGCCAUUGGCACAGGUCUCUCCUACGAUACGUACACUGAUAUAACUCGCUUUGAGGAAGGUCAGGAAGGUCAUGGAUGAGCACUUUACACCUACCGAGGCCUUAAUCAGUCAGAGAAUAACUGGGCUGCCAGAGGAAUCUUAGAGUACAUCUUCUGGGUCACACUUAGGAGAAACACAAGUCCCAGAGGACAAAAAACUACACUGUGGGCCCCGUUCAUAUUGCAUAACUCUGUAGGGCUGCUUAAUGUUUUUCAGAAGUGUCCACAGUAUGUGCUCCACUAAUCUGUACAUAGCCUGAGGGAGAGAUUAAAUGCCUAAUACACACCUAAAGCCCUCACCACCAAAAACACUGCCUGCACGUGAAAAAGUCCCCUUUGCACAUCUGUUCCUGGAUAAUUCUGAAAGUCCACAGGAUAUACCAAGCUUGCAGGAUACCACAGUACAUCACAUAACCCUUGCACCCAACAGGGUCUUGUUCAAGGCUGCAGCCCUAAAACCUCGCAUGGGACCUGACGUGCCACAGAACUCAGUAAAUGACCUACUGAUUGCAAUAAUGAAAUUAUCUUUGAAGAAAACAUAGGCAGUACAGUCUUUGACAUCAGUAUUAAAAGGAUCUUUUCGGACACCAUGCCUUCUCAGAGAAGGGAAACAAUAGAAAGAAUAAACAAAUGGGACUUCAUCAGAUUAAAGAGCUUCUUCAAGGCAAAUGAAAACAGGAUUGAAACAAAAAAACAACCCACUAACUGGGAAAAAAUAUUUGCAAGUCAUAUAUCUGACAAAGGCUUAAUAUCCUUAAUAUAUAAAGAACUCUCGCAACUCAACCACAAAACAUCAAACAACCCAAUCAAAAAAUGGGCUGGAGACAUGAACAGACAUUUCUCCAAAGAAGAUAUACUGAUGGCCAAUAGGCACAUGAAAAGAUGCUCAUCAUCGCUGAUCAUCAGGGAAAUGCAAAUCAAAACUACACUAAGAUAUCACCUGACACCCGUUAGAAUGACAAAAGUAUCUAAAACUAAUAGCAACAAAUGUUGGAGAGGUUGCGGAGAAAAAGGAACCCUCAUACACUGCUGGUGGGAAUGCAAACUGGUGCAGCCACUAUGGAAAACAGUAUGGAGAUUCCUCAAAAAACUAAAAAUAGAACUACCAUAAGAUCCAGCCAUCCCACUACUGGGUAUUUAUCCAAAGAGCCUGAAGUCAGCAAUCCCAAAAGUCCUGUGCACCCCAAUGUUUAUUGCAGCACUGUUUACAAUAGCCAAGACGUGGAAGCAACCUAAGUGCCCAUCAACAGACGAAUGGAUAAAGAAGAUGUGGUACAGGGGCCGGCCCGGUGGCACAGCGGUUAAGUUCGCACGUUCCGCUUCUCGGCGGCCCGGGGUUCGCUGGUUCGGAUCCCGGGUGCGGACAUGGCACUGCUUGGCAGCCAUGCUGUGGUAGGCGUCCCACGUAUAAACUAGAGGAAGAUGGGCACGGAUGUUAGCUCAGAGCCAGGCUUCCUCAGCAAAAAGAGGAGGACUGGCAGUAGUUAGCUGAGGGCUAAUCUUUCUCCAAAAACAAAAACAAACAAACACAAAAACAAACAAACAAAAAAAACACCACACAAAAAAAAGAUGUGGUACAUAUAUACAAUGGAAUACUACUCAGCUGCAAAACAGAACAAAAUCAUUUCAUUUGCAAUAACAUGGAUGGACCUUGAGAGGAUUAUGUUAAGUGAAAUAAGCCAGCGAGAGAAAGAUAAUCUGUGUAUGACUCCACUCAUAUGAGGAAUUUAAAACUAUGGAUCAAGAACAGUUUAGUGGAUACCAGGGGAAAGGUGGGGUGGGGGGUGGGCACAAAGGGUGAAGUGGUGCACCUACAACAUGACUGACAAACAUUAAUGUACAAUUGAAAUUUCACAAGAUUGUAACCUAUCAAUAACUCAAUAAAAAAAAAAGAAAUUAAAGCUGAGAAAGGUGAAAUGACUUGCCCAAAAUCUUAGCAAACAGUUCACGUCAAGGCUGGUACUAAAAAAGGUCUCCAAACACCAGGGUCCUCCAUCUUGCUGUGGCACAAAUAACCAAACUCUCAGGAGCCCUGUUUACAGGUGGGUUAAUGGUCUAAAAAGGUCCCUACAGAACUUGACACACAGGACAAAAGAUGAUUUAACCUUCUAGGACUACCUCAUGACUGAAUUCAGGCUAAACCUUGUCAGCAAGAGCACUGCAUAGUUAGUGCUGUCUGCUCCUUGCACAGCCCAGCUGGUGGCACAGAACGCCCGGUCUGUCAUGUUGUCUUCUGCCAGUUGCUCCUGAUUCCGCUGAUGUGCAGGAUGGGAACUGAGAGCAGCAAGGGUUAAGGUCUCUCAUAACCGUGUGUGGGUCUCCUCACUGACUUAGCGCAGUUGGAGGCCGAAGGGCUGGGAUUUCUCCCGUCCAACCAGCCUUUGCAGUAAAAACCUUGGGGAGUGCUUUGUGGUUGUGAUGUUGAUCUUCAGCAUAGGAUCCCGUCACUGCUGUGUUUGGGUUUUACAUUGAUUUGCUGUUUUAGAAUUUUUUCAUCAAGUGAAAAUGGUACUUUUUGUGAAGUGGUUUCUUUCAAAUCAGUAAUAUCUUUCCUUAGUUCCAGAGAUCUUGGUAUCUGAGAGACAGAAAGAGAAAAUAAAAAUGAAAUGUGAAAAUGGACAGACAGCUGCCAAGUGAACCCUGCCUGGCUCUGGCACCACUGUCAACUCCCAGAAAUCUGGAAGCUGCAAGGUCUGCCUCUCUCCCUACUGGGGCAUGAUGCGGACUUUGGUCACGAACGACUGUCUUGGCCAGGAAUUAGCUGCCACCGUGGAAACGGCAACCGGGCAGAGGCAGACAUGUGUCCUCCGCUGGGUGACAGAAAAAAGAGAGAACGGGAGAGUGCACGCCAUCCGCCGACAGAUGAGCACACCUCCGGCAUCUGACUGCACGUGACCACACUGGAGAAAGAUCACGGAAUUGGCCCAUCUGAGGACCACGGUGAGAAACACAGAGCACUCUGGGAAAGGGACACUUGGCGGUUGCGUGCAUGGGGGAAACGGGGAUAGUCAGUGCUCGCUGAAUUCCCUCGAUCGGAGAUGCCCAGAUGGCCCCUUCCAAUGGAGUCCCGGGAUUCUUCCGAGUUACCUGCAACACAGGCUGUCUUGGAUGCCCCCGUCGUCCUCCGGAUCGGUGUGUUGGCCUGGAAAGAAAUUCGCACGGGGCCAGUCACACUAAGCAGAUCCCCACUCGACCCUUGGGAAUCCAGUGUCCAGUCCCAGCCCAGGGACCUCCACAUCCUCAGUGUGACAACGGCAGACGGGAAGAGCAAUCUGCCAGGAGACCUCAGGCGGUGUCUCGUGAAAGCGCCGGCCUGGCUUUGCUGAGCCAGCGGGCCGCGUCUCCCCGAUCGGGGAGGCCCUCAGAGCAGGAUGCUCUCCCGAGUCUGGGAAAACAGCCAAAGAGGCGUGGGGCUCACACCUUCUGGGGCACCAGCCUAAGAGCCUGCUCGGACAAGUGCUGGGCUACUCAGCCUUCUCUGCGCAGGGACACUAGUUCUGGAGGCUCGAGUCUAACUCAUCGCCUGAGGGGAGAAGGCCGGCUGCACUCUACAAACCCUGGCAUCCAGAGGCAUCGUCGCCCCUGCUCCGCAGAAACACUGGCCACCCUGUGGGCCGGGAGAAGGCCAAGGCAUAGUACUGGUACAAAAACAGGUGCACAGAUCAAUGGAACAAAAUUGAAAGCCCAGAAAUAAAACCACACAUCUAUGGACAGCUUAUCUUUGACAAAGGAGCUGAGGGCAUACAAUGGAGAAAAGAAAGUCUUUUCAACAAAUGAUGCUGGGAAUACUGGAAAGCCACAUGAAAACAAUGAAAAUUGACCAUUCU